AUUGUAUUCAACGGUGGUGGUGAGACUCUUGCAUCUGAAUCCUGCUUUAGGAUAUAAAAGAGUGAGGAUUUCGAACAGGACAACAGAGCUCCCCACAUGUGUAUCUUCCUUAGAAAUGUACAUAAGUUCAAUGCAACGAGUGCCACCCCAGGAUGCUUCAGCUCAGACUGUGUCCAGAGACUUCAGGUGUGGAACCACAACCCUUCAGUUUCAUCACUCGGGUUCCAGAUGCCAUCAGGAUGCUGGCGAGGCUUCCCUGGACUGAAGACCCCACCAAUGUGUCCUGGAGCUCAGCUUCCCCAGAGACUCACCCUUCUAGGGAAAGAGAGAGGCAGGCUGAGAGUAUGGAUCGACCAGUCAACGCUGGUCAGCUGGGAAGCAAUUACAGAAGCCAGACCUCCCACCUUCUGCAACCUACAAAGACCCUGGGUCCAUGCUUCCAGAGGGAUGGAGAAUGGGAAAGCUAUUGGGGAGGGGAUGGGAUAUGGAGAUUGGGUGGCGGGAAUUGUGUG